CAGAGCCCCCCUCAGCCCCCUCCCGCGCCCCGGCAGCGCAUCAGCCCGUCCCUGCGGCCCCGGGAACCUCACGGUUGUUCCGGGCCCGAAGGAUUUAACGCGGAUUGAAGUGAUGUGGAGAGCCCUGUGUGCCCUGGUGGUACGGGGGAUGUAAUCAGGAGGCAAGGAGAAGCAAAGGAGGAGAGUAUUGCCUCAUCUUCUGCUCACAACAAGCCCAGGCCACCUGGCAUGGGAGGGGUAUGGGCAUAGCAGAGAGCGUGUGAAUCACCCUGGACGUGCAGCUCAGUGCAGAGAUCUCUGGAGUAAUCACCCCACCUUUCCAUCCUGAGCUGCAGAACUCAACAUGUAUAAGUCAGUAUUCGCUAAGAUACCAUCCCAGCAUGGAAAGAUUCUCAGCUGCAUCUUGCCCUUGGGACAAACCGGCUCACGAAGAGACCAGUGGAAGUCACUAUUUUUGAGAAUUUCAGG